UGUCAAGGGAUGGGAAUCGAACCUACGACCUUCCGCUUACCGGGCAGAUGCCAUGACCACUAGGCUACCCUGGAC
rnacentral:tRNA from 1 species